CCCUUAGAUGUUCUGGGCCGCACGCGUGCUACACUGAGUAAUUCAAUGGGUAAGGGAACGCUAGAGCAUUACCUAAUCUUGAAAUUUGCUCGUGAUGGGGAUCGACGGUUGCAAUUUUCCGUCGUGAACGAGGAAUACCUUGUAGGCGCAUGUCAUCAUCAUGCGCCGAAUACGUCCCUGCCCUUUGUACACACCGCCCGUCGCUCCUACCGAUUGAGUGAUCCGGUGAGGCUCUGGGACCUGGACGGAAAGAGCGUUUCGCUUGUUCUGUUUGGGAAACUUGGUCGAACCUUAUCAUUUGGAGGAAGGAGAAGUCGUAACA
rnacentral:rRNA from 1 species